rnacentral:rRNA from 1 species
UGUGGGAAAAAAAAAAUGUAACAAGGUUUCCGUAGGUGAACCUGCGGAAGGAUCAUUACAGUAUUCUUUUUGCCAGCGCUUAAUUGCGCGGCGAAAAAACCUUACACACAGUGUUUUUUGUUAUUACAAGAACUUUUGCUUUGGUCUGGACUAGAAAUAGUUUGGGCCAGAGGUUUACUGAACUAAACUUCAAUAUUUAUAUUGAAUUGUUAUUUAUUUAAUUGUCAAUUUGUUGAUUAAAUUCAAAAAAUCUUCAAAACUUUCAACAACGGAUCUCUUGGUUCUCGCAUCGAUGAAGAACGCAGCGAAAUGCGAUAAGUAAUAUGAAUUGCAGAUUUUCGUGAAUCAUCGAAUCUUUGAACGCACAUUGCGCCCUCUGGUAUUCCAGAGGGCAUGCCUGUUUGAGCGUCAUUUCUCUCUCAAACCUUCGGGUUUGGUAUUGAGUGAUACUCUUAGUCGAACUAGGCGUUUGCUUGAAAUGUAUUGGCAUGAGUGGUACUGGAUAGUGCUAUAUGACUUUCAAUGUAUUAGGUUUAUCCAACUCGUUGAAUAGUUUAAUGGUAUAUUUCUCGGUAUUCUAGGCUCGGCCUUACAAUAUAACAAACAAGUUUGACCUCAAAUCAGGUAGGAUUACCCGCUGAACUUAAGCAUAUCAUAAAGCGGGAAGAAAAAAA